AGUAGUAUAUGUAAGGGACUUGAGUCAAUCCACUAAUUUUCAAUUGAUUUGAAGUUGGAAGCCCAAUAAACUUAUCAAAACUUUAAAUCUUUCAUAUUAACUCAAAUCAAUCAAUACAUAUUUUCGCUCAUGCUUCAAUCUCAAUCUUCAUAAAGGAUGGAUUGUCGAACUCCAUGUUCAUGGAAGAUCAUAAACUUGAACCACAUGCUGUAUAAAUUUAUAAUGCAACUGUGACGCAGAG
rnacentral:lncRNA from 1 species